rnacentral:rRNA from 1 species
ACGCUGGCGGCGUGCUUAACACAUGCAAGUCGAACGAAGAGCGAUGGAAGCUUGCUUCUAUCAAUCUUAGUGGCGAACGGGUGAGUAACGCGUAAUCAACCUGCCCUUCAGAGGGGGACAACAGUUGGAAACGACUGCUAAUACCGCAUACAAUCCAAUCUCGGCAUCGAGACUGGAUGAAAGGUGGCCUCUAUUUAUAAGCUAUCACUGAAGGAGGGGAUUGCGUCUGAUUAGCUAGUUGGAGGGGUAACGGCCCACCAAGGCGAUGAUCAGUAGCCGGUCUGAGAGGAUGAACGGCCACAUUGGGACUGAGACACGGCCCAGGCUCCUACGGGAGGCAGCAGUGGGGAAUCUUCCGCAAUGGGCGAAAGUCUGACGGAGCAACGCCGCGUGAGUGAUGACGGCCUUCGGGUUGUAAAGCUCUGUUAAUCGGGACGAAUGGUUCUUGUGCAAAUAGUGCGAGGAUUUGACGGUACCGGAAUAGAAAGCCACGGCUAACUACGUGCCAGCAGCCGCGGUAAUACGUAGGUGGCAAGCGUUGUCCGGAAUUAUUGGGCGUAAAGCGCGCGCAGGCGGAUUGGUCAGUCUGUCUUAAAAGUUCGGGGCUUAACCCCGUGAUGGGAUGGAAACUGCCAAUCUAGAGUAUCGGAGAGGAAAGUGGAAUUCCUAGUGUAGCGGUGAAAUGCGUAGAUAUUAGGAAGAACACCAGUGGCGAAGGCGACUUUCUGGACGAAAACUGACGCUGAGGCGCGAAAGCCAGGGGAGCGAACGGGAUUAGAUACCCCGGUAGUCCUGGCCGUAAACGAUGGGUACUAGGUGUAGGAGGUAUCGACCCCUUCUGUGCCGGAGUUAACGCAAUAAGUACCCCGCCUGGGGAGUACGACCGCAAGGUUGAAACUCAAAGGAAUUGACGGGGGCCC